ensembl:lncRNA
CACACACACUGGACACACACACACACUGGACACACACACACACACACACACACACACACUGGACACACACACACACUGGACACACACACACACUGGACACACACACACUGGACACACACACACACACACACACACACACACACACUGGACACACACACACACACAGGACACACACACACACACACUGGACACACACACACACACACAGACAGGACACACACACACAGACACACACACACACACACACAGACAGGACACACACACACACUGGACACACACACACAUACUCUGGACACACACACACACAUACUCUGGACACACACACACACUGGACACACACACACACACACUGGACACACACACACACACUGGACACACACACACACACUGGACACACACACACUGGACACACACACACACUCUGGACACACACACACUGGACAAACACACACUGGACACACACACACACACUGGACACACACACACACUGGACACACACACACAGACACACACACACUGGACACACACACACACUGGACACACACACAUACUCUGGACACACACACACACACUCUGGACACACACACACAUACUCUGGACACACACACACACUGGACACACACACACAUACUCUGGACACACACACACACUGGACAAAUACACACACACACACACACACACUGGACAAACACACACUGGACAAACACGCACACUGGACACACACACUCUGGGCACACACACACACGGGACACACACACACUGGACACACACACACACUGGACACACACACUCAGGAAACACACAUUCUACACACACACACACUCUGGACACACACACACACUGGACACGGACACACACUGGACAAAUACACACACACACACUCUGGACACACACACACUGGACAAACACACACUGGACAAACACACACACACACACAAACACACACACAGGACAAACACGCACACUGGACACACACACACACACACACACACACUGGACACACACACACACUCUGGACACACAAUCUGGACACACACACACACACACUCUGGACACACACACACACACACUCUGGACACACACACACACACACUGGACACACACACACACACACUGGACACACACACACACACUCUGGACACACACACACACACACACUCUGGGCACACACACACACACAAUCUGCACACACACACACACACACUCUGGACACACACACACACACUCUGGACACACACACACACACACAUUCUGGACACACACACACAUACGCGUCUUUCUAUAGUUGUGAGGACCUCUUACAACAACACUGUUAAAAUACCAA